rnacentral:rRNA from 1 species
GAUGAACGCUAGCUACAGGCUUAACACAUGCAAGUCGAGGGGAAACGACAUCGAAAGCUUGCUUUUGAUGGGCGUCGACCGGCGCACGGGUGAGUAACGCGUAUCCAACCUGCCCAUCACUUGGGAAUAACCUUGCGAAAGUAAGACUAAUACCCAAUGACAUCCCACGAAGACAUCUGAAUGGGAUUAAAGAUUUAUCGGUGACGGAUGGGGAUGCGUCUGAUUAGCUUGUUGGCGGGGUAACGGCCCACCAAGGCAACGAUCAGUAGGGGUUCUGAGAGGAAGGUCCCCCACAUUGGAACUGAGACACGGUCCACACUCCUACGGGAGGCAGCAGUGAGGAAUAGUGGUAAAUGGGCGAGAGCCUGAACCAGCCAAGUAGCGUGCAGGAUGACGGCCCUAUGGGUUGUAAACUGCUUUUAUAAGGGAAUAAAGUGGGUAUCGUGAGACUUUUUGCAUGUACCUUAUGAAUAAGGAACGGCUAAUUCCGUG